UUUUUUUUUUUUUUUUGUAGUUGAGGAUUUAAAGAAAAGCAGCAAAUGUUCGGUAACAAUAUUUAUUGAAAUUACAAAGCAACAAGUGAAAAUGUAGAAGAGAACACACAAAAAAAUGAAACAGGAUGAUACAUAUAGAUUACAUAAUUGGGAUAUGUGAGGAAAGGAUUGUUGAAUUUAGGGUUGAUGGAGACUAGAUAAGGAAGAUGAAGCUGGAGGGAUUCCAGGGAUAAGAGGGACCGGAGGGAGCGGAAUAGGGAGAGAAGGUGGCGGCAUAGGUAGCGAAGGCGGAUUUACGACUGGAACAGGAGGAAGAACCGGAAGAGGUGGAAGAGGUGGAAGAGUUGGAAUUGUUGGAACCGGUGGGAGAGUUGGUGUUGCCGGGGGAGAAGGAAGUAGCGGAAUCGGUGGUAGAGUUGGUGUUGCUGGAGGAGAGGGAAGUAGGGGAAUUGGAGGGAGAGUUGGGGGAGACGGGAUCAACGGGUUUGGAGGAAGAGUUGGGGUUGGGAUAGAAGGGAUCAGAGGGUUUGGAGGGAUGACGGAUGGCGGGUUUAGCGGGUUUGGAGGAAGGAAGAAGAAAUCGGGUUUUAGCACUUCGGUUUUCUUGUCUUCCAAGGAACCAUAUUUCUUGUUAUGCAAGGAAGCUGAUUUCCGUGAUCCUGAUGUUCCUGGAGGAAGAAGAGGAGGAAUUGUAGGAAGAGGCAAGUCCGGAAGCGGAGGUACGAUUGGGAGAUUUGGGAUAGCGGAAGGAGUAGGCGGAUCUUGGAUCGGUGGAGGGAAUGAGGGAUCCGGUAAAAGAGGCUUGGUGGUUUGGCCGAGGUUGACUUGUUUUUGGCUACAAAUCUCUGGUUGGUUUUCGGGUUUGAAAGUGAAGAAUCCUGCGGAGAAGACCCUAGUGUUCUCUCCAUGGUGGUUUGAUCUAAGGCGUUUGAAAGAAGAAGAUGUCGCCGAAGAAGCUAUGGAACAGUAAGGCUGUGAGCUACUUAGCAACUUCACAGAGCAUCUCUUGAUCUUCUUCACAUGUUUGCUCACAGAGAAAGGUAGCUUCACUUUGAAUUCACCGCGCGCAUCUGUUUUCACUUCUUGUCUGAAACUCGGUUUCGAGUUCUCGUCAAUGCAUUCCACUGCAACUAAAGCACCUGCAACAAGAUCCAGACAACUGUUCAUAAUUCGUUCUAAGAUUCUAGACCCACAAACAAGAAAGCUCAUGUAUUGAUCCACUUAAACGAUAUUAACCAGGUUUUGUACUAAUCUAAUAAUCGGCAUAAACCAGACUUUAACCUGUCGUAAUCUUGAACCAUAACUGCUCAAACUAAAUCAUGUUUUGGUAAAACAGAGAGCUCUGUUCUAGAUUCCAAGAACCAAAUAUAUUUGGAUAAAAAACGAGCAAGAAAAAACGAAAAGCAGACCUGGGAUUAAGUGGUUGGGUGACUUUGAAAAGGCGCCGUUAAAACAAGUGUCACAGUAGACAGUUCCGACUACAACUGCAGAAGAACGUGUCUUCUUCACAACAUGUUGUUGUCUUUGAGACAAACCUCCAGUACUAAAGAUGCCUAGGAAAAACAUAAGACUAAACCAAACCCAUAAGGUGGUUGUUCUCUCCAUAGCUAACUAUCGACUCUCUGAGUGUGCGUGUCUUAUGAAAAAGAGGGUUAUCGAGGAAAGAGGGAUAUAUAUAGGAUUGUUGGUGUGAAGAUGAGUGAGCCACGAAAAACGAAGAGAUUGUAAAAGAAAGCUUAUCUCUUUCUAUUUUUUUGUUCUAUGUUAAUGUGAAUCAUGGGAAAAAUACAAACUCUAACUACAAAAGCUAGCUACUAUAUUGUCUUGUGACUCUAUCCUUCUACAGCUCAGAUGCUGAAUUAUUGUAAAAAAUAGUAAGAGGUGAGAAAAAAGACAACAAUUAUAAUUUUGGAUUCACGUAGACGUGUCCAUUAAAUAGUAUUGAUCGUUACACGGUAAAAACACGUUCGAAUUAUAAAAAAAAAAAAAAAAAAACCAAAGCAAAAUCUGUUAUCAUUGUUUCUUGAAUUGCGGGGUUGCUAAAACUACUAUUCUCUUGAUAUCUUUCCUCCUUUAACAUAUGAACUGUAGAUAUGAAGUUAUGUUUCAUGCUAAAGGUUGAAGAACACAUUUGAGAUAUUUUGAGUUCGAAAAUAUGUUUUUUUCUUCAUCUUUCCCUUAUGUACAUUUUGGAUUUUUGAAUGAGCUAAAACAUGACUUAAUUUUUCAUUUUCCAAACUUGGAAUCCAUGUGUGUCAUGUUUUGAUGUUUUAUGUAUUGUCUACAUCCAUGUUUUCAAAGAACUGAAAUUUACAAUAAUUAUUUCUAAAAUAUUGUAUAUAUAUUUUAACCAAAACUAAUCUUGGCAACUUAUAUCUACCUUACAAUCUACUAAAGACACUCCAAAACCAAUAAGUACUUUUUUGUUGAACCAUUGGAAUUUUGGAAGAGUAGUAUAUAUAUUCCCACAGAUGAUUUUAAAAAACAAUUGGGUUUAGAUUUGGAGAAACAUAUAAGCCAAUGCGAGUAAAGUUGAUAACUAGACUUAGCAGAGUAAAUAAUUUUUCUGUAACAGAGGAAACAUUACAUGAAAAUUACGAAAGUGAAGGCAUAUGGGAAUGAGAAUGGGGAAGCGAAUACGGUUGGAGAGUCUCUGUCGAUUCACGAGACACUAAGGAUGUCCACACAACCAUAUAUACCCAAUUCUUACUUCUGUCUUCUUGUAUAUCAUAUAUGUAUACAAAAUCAUUAUUGUUGAUAAAGGACAAAGUAAAUAGAUAAUUUGAAGAUGCGAAUGUUUUUUCAUUUUGAUAAAGAAGGAAUUGUGAAUGUUCUUCUUUUUAACCUUUUUCUAUUUUGUUUUUUUCUGUUUAGUUUGUGUUAUAUUAACAGGAUGUCAUAUAUGCUAAAAAGAUCACCCACUCACGAGAAUGAAACAAACUCUCUACUCUUAUUAGAAUUUUGAAACCGACGACAGAAAAAACAACAAACGAAAUAUUAUGCUAACAUUAUAGAUCGACCAAUGGGUAUUUCUUAAAUUUAUCAAAAACAAAUAUACAAAUUUAGAUGACUACAAAGUUUCUAUAGAUACAUACAGUUGACUAUAGGUGCUCAAAAAAAAAAAAAAAAUUGAAUAUCAUCAAUAUGUAUAUUGGCUGAAUUGGGUUUUAAAUUUGGUCUUGCCCAUAUCUUGAUAUAUGGGCUGAUCUGAACAACAAAAGAGCCCACAUACACAUAGGUAAGUUUAGAUGGUUCAUAUUCAUAAGUUCAUAGUAGUAAUAAUAAAUCUAAAAAUAAUUUUGAAAAGAGAAGCAAUAGUUUUGGUUGAUUAUUGAAUAGAGAGACUCUCAAUUCAACUCAACUCAACUCAAGUCUGAAGCCAUUGGUGUCGAGCAACAACGCCCACCCACCUUCACACCAACUUCAUCACACGACUCCUCUUCCUUCCCCCAUCACUUUUUCUUCCUUCUCUCUGAGUGGAUUUAAUAAAAACAAAAUAGAAAGAAGAUUAAAGUACUUGUUCACUUUCCUUGGGAAUCUGCUAAUAAAAAGCAAAUUAAGUUCCUUUCUUUCCUUUUUCUCUCUUAACUGAAAAUUUCGUCGGUUCUUUGUCUCAAUCUCUUUCCUUUUUCCGUCGAGUCCGAUCAAAAAAAAUCGAAAACCCAUUUUGUUCUUCGAUGAAAGGUAUAGCCUUUGCUCCGAUUCGUCUGAUUUUAUUUCUUCUGAAAAAUAUGUUCUUGUGUAAAACAAGCAACUGGAUGAUGGUUUCUGAUCGACUCUGAUCAGAACUAUCACAAAAAUAUUGUUUUUAUUGGUGUCUGGUCAAAUGUCUCUGCCUUGACUCUAUUUUUUUUUUAUUUUUAUUAUAUGGUUUCUCUGUUAUUAUUGCGUUUGUUUGGGGUUUACCUGAAUUAGGAUUCACCUUUGAGUGGGUUAAUUGCUUGCAUUUCACUUUCACCAGUUUUGCCAUAUGGAGCCUUCUGUUUUUUUUUUGACCAAAACACACAAAUUAAUUUUUACUGAGUUUGGUGAAUCGUUUGACUGAUGUCUCUUGCUGGGAAUCUCUCUACAAUUGUUCAAUGCUGAAAAGCUCAUUAGAACAGAUCAUUCUACAGGCGAACUUUGAGGGAGUGAAGUAGAUUGCUGCUGUAGCCUCUCUCAUUUGGCCUCCUAAAAGUUUCAAACCGGGUGUUGUGAUUUUGGUAAAUCUUUGUGAAAUUUUUCAAAGCAAUUUGUUUCCUCUCAAGUUUUAAAGUUAAAGAAUCAUCAUAUUGGAAUUAACAUUUCAAGAAAUCAAGAGAAGAAGGAGAUGGGCUGUGUUUCUUCUUGUUUUCGUGUCGACGACUUUGAGGAUCACCCGAAUCCAACUAGUUCAUGCCCGAGAUGUCUUGUUAAUAGCUUACUUAACCUGGUAAUGUUCUCUUCCCACUGUUUUACUUUUCACCCGCUAGUUAUAUACAAAGCAGAGCUCAUUGAAGCUUUGUGUUUGAUCUCUCUUUGCAGUAUAUCUCGUUGUUCAGAAGAGGCGAAACCCGCUCUCUCCCAUCCUCCUUACAGGCUACUAAUGUAUCUCUAGCUUCAUCUACUUCUUAUGAUAACUUUAUGUCUAAUACAUUCCAUUCUACUCCAAGGCCUCUGCCUUAUGAUGCUGAUCCAAGAUGCUUCCGGUCAAGGCGUGAUUCGCUUGUCUCUAGACGCGAUAAGGGUUCAAGUCAUUCUCAUGAGGAAACUGAGCCCUUGAGAAGUGAUUCUGAUGUGGAUUCUGAGUCUUUCUCAGUGGAAAGAAGCAAAUGGGCUAAUAAGCUUAUUAUCUCUGGUGAAGAUUCCAGAGAAGAGUUCUCUAAAUCCACUCGAAGGAUUCUUAAGUCAAAGACAAUGUCUACUGGUGGUGAUGACGGCCUGUAUAUAACAUCUGAUGAUGAAGAUGUCUGUCCAACGUGUCUUGAAGGUAGUCAUUUUCAUCUCUCUUCUUACUUCUAUCAAUGCCAUUCGAAGGAAGCUUAGUAUCAGCUUUUCUUUUUGGAUCUUUUGUUUCAGAAUAUACAUCAGAGAACCCAAAGAUUGUUACAAACUGUUCUCACCACUUCCACCUCAGUUGCAUUUAUGAAUGGAUGGAGAGAAGUGAAAACUGUCCUGUUUGUGGAAAGGUAACACUUUUUCAUGUUCUUCCAAGCCAUUUUUUGGCAUUCACAUGUUGAUAAAAGAAUAAUCUUUCUCUGCUUUGAAUUCGUCUCAUUUGCAGGUGAUGGAGUUCAACGAAACACCGUAACUUGUUACCAUUGAUCCUGUCUUCUACUGCCUAAACCGAAAGUGAGGAGAUUGACAAGGCAGCAGACAGAUUUGCAAAUUGAUUUGAUCUGUGAAUAUUUUUAAUUUACAAUAUAUGGUAUAUAUGGAAAUGAGGAAUGUCUCUGCACAUUUGGCUAAUGGAGUUCUGAGGAAAACCCUCUUGAGAGAAAACAGCAGCAGCAACAAAACACAUGCACACAGGAGUCUGGCAUGUUUCUCAAGAUGUGCCUAUGGGGCAGUGUUUUGUUUAUGGCUUGAAAUUUUUCACAUCAUUUUGUAUGAACUACAUAACCCUUUUAUUAAUAGCAUAUAUGUGAUGAUUAUUAUUUUGGCAUAGAUGUUUAAUUAUUGUGGGACAAGAAGAGAUCCCAGUGUCACCCAAACUUUUUCUCAUUACAUGACAAUAAACCGGUCUAAUGGUUCAGUGUCAAAACAACUUCCACACAUUUCAAUCCUUAAUAAUAUAAGCAAGAUCCUCUGGACCAUAAUAUAUAGCCACGUACUUAUUAUGUCUACAAAUCAAAGUCUUUUGUCUAUACUUUUUUUUUAUAUAUAUAAAAAGGUUUUUGUUGGUGAGCUUGAUCACAGAAGAUGGCUCUCAAAGCAUCCACCCUGGGAUGUAACCAUUUCCCGGCUGUGCCUGAGCUUGUGUUGUUGUUGCAGUUAUUUGCUCUGAGCAUACUGUAUUGUCAUACCUGUCACCAUAACAUUUUCAAUAAACUUAAAAGGUUCUCAAAGGGUGAUGAUCCUAUAUCGACCAAGCAACUAAAACCUUUAAACUGCAAAGACAAUCUAAGUUGUGAUUUGCAUAUGGUUUUUUCAAGGCAAAGGAUUUACCCGAUUUGUAGAGUUGGAUUGCAUUCAAGAGGCUGGUAUAGUCCCUGAGAUUGAACUUGAUGGUGCGCAUAGGUAACAUUCUGUUCACCCCCAUCCCAUCCUCCCCCUCCUCCUCCCAUAUGAUGAUGAGUUCUCACACCAAUCAUGUCAUCCAGCUAAACAAUUACAUUUCACCAAAUUAAAGACAAUAAUUCAAAUAAGAGAAAUUAAAACUAGAGAUGAUUCCAAAAUGUUUAGAAACUUUAAAACCUGUGAAAGAGAUUGAUAGCAGUCAUCGAAUGCAUUUAAUGUGUAUAUGAGAUUCUAAUAUAAUGCAUACCUUCAUUGCCAAAGCUCUAUUGGUCUCAAGCAGCAUUUGCUCUUUAUUUUGAAGAUCAGAGAGCUGAUCAAGCAUGUACUGUGUCUGCAAACACUCAUGAUCAUACCACCAUAUGUAGAAGUUAUAAUUAAUAAACAGCUAGCGUAUUUUCACACAUUAGUUAAUCUCACUUGAAUCCUUACUUCUACAUAGCUUUAGUUAGCUAACCUUGAUGGACCGAACUUGCUUGAGAGAGCCGUCAAGUUGACGUUCAAGCUGUUCUAGCUCCUUUGAAUUAAGAGGUCCUAAAUCCUCCCCAAGAAGAUUUCUGCACCAAACAAAAGAUCCAUAUCAUAUACAUAUAUCAAUAUGAAUAUGUAAUGUACAUGUAUAAUUAUAUAUAUAAAUGUAGAGAGAGAAAUAGAUAAAUAUAUACCUCUGUUGACGCUGAAGGUUCUCAUAUCUACCCUUAAGCUUCAGAUACUCUCUGUAGCUGUUCUGAAAUUUCAAGAAAAAAACAGACUUUUUAAAAGGAUAUCUUUCUUGCAAUGUUAUGAUAGGAAUCGAAAAAUAUUAUCUGAAUUGAAGAAACACCUCUAGUUCUUUGGCAGGUUUGUUGUUGACUUCAAUAGAGCCAUAGCUGCAUUUCUGGUACCGAUCCAAUGUCUUGAGCAUGCUGAAAGAAAACUCACAAGCAUGAUAAGAAGCUAAUCGAAAAAAUCAUACUUGACUUAGUAGAUAAACCUUACAUGACCAUAAUCAAGAGCUAGCUCUCCAAGUAUAUAUUUUCUUUCAAAACUGAAGAUUAUUUCUACUACGUACUCAUCUAAAGCAUACUUGGGAUUUGUUUAAUUUGUUCCAAGGGUUAAGUUUUGCGUUUGUGUUUACUAAUCAAGAAUAUUAUUUGCAAGCAAUCUCUUAUACAUUUUUCAUUUGAGUUGAUUCACAAAUGCAAAUAAUACUUUUUGUUAAAAUUAAGGAAAUCAAUUUUAUAUCCUCUUGAAUGAAAUUAACUGAACUAAUUAAUCUAACAUAUAAACAUCUAAGCAACAAAAGUUUAAAAAAUAAAUAUUAAAGCCUUCAUAGAUAUACACACGUUUAAAGUUUUAACCACCAUAAAGUAUGAUGAACUAACAAAUGGUUAAUGCAUGGAACCAUAUAUUAUCAUUCUACGUUGGGUACUAAUUAUUUUCAUAGAAAUCUGUGAAUCCAUCUUUUUUUUUUUAAGUUUCCAAUCAGACAGACAUAUAUAUAUAUUAAUUAAUAUAAAACUUUUCAGAUUGCAUAUCUGGAUUUGGAUUUACCUUCAAAUCCAUCUUCAAUUAUACAUAUAUACCUCUUUUUUUUUUAAAUAUCAUAUAACAUAACUUGUAGCAAACUGAAAUCAGUUCUUUAAUAUCAAGAACUCAAGAAACCUAGAAAUUGAAAUCAGAUCUUUAAUAUCAAGAAGUCAAGAAAACCUAGAAACUGAAAUCAAGAAACCUGAUUAAACUCAAGAUCACGACGUUCUAGUAAUCAAGAUCGGGUGAUCUAGAUAUCUAGUCCCAAAACAGGUCCUUGAGACAAAGAUCUAUGCUCAGAUCUAGCAAAACCCCAAUUUAUUUUAUGAAAAAAAAAACUGAAAAAUGAAGAAGAGAGGGAGAGAGCUGAGUGAAUUACUUGGGGGAGCUGCAAAACUCAUAGAGCUUUCCACGGUUGGAGAAGAUGAUGAGAGCAACCUCAGCAUCGCAAAGAACAGACAAUUCAUAAGCUUUCUUCAACAAACCGUUCCUACGCUUUGCAAACGUUACUUGUCUGUUGAUUUUGUUCUCUAUCCUCUUCAGCUCUACUCUUCCUCUUCCCAUUUCUUUUUUCUUUUGUUACCCUUAUUUCCACUUUUAUAUAUGUACGUACACACACACAAAAUAUGGGUAUGUAAUGUUUAUCUAUAUACAGACACACAAAAACCUGAGUUGGGUAUCUCUAUUUCUGAGGAAAGAUCUGAUCUUUUGAGUAUUUAAAGGUCUCUGGAGAAUUUGAUGGAAAGGGGAUAGGAAAGUAACCCUAAUUUCAAGAACAAGGGUACUACUAGCUAGCUUAAGGAAGAAGAAGAAGAAGAAGAAGAAAAAGAGGAAAGAUUAAUUUGCUUUUACUGGUUUUGAUUGUUAGGGUUCUUGAUUUAUAUUAUAUUUGUCUCUCUCUUUUGUGUGUUUGGAAGUGUGUGGAGGUUGUGCAAUCUUAAUGAAAUUUAUUAUUUUUGUAUGAAUGGAAUCUAUUCGAUGAGAGCAAAAGAUAAGAAAUCUGUGAGGGGUGAGGUUAGGGUUUGGUGUGUUUUUCAUUUCUAGCCAUCUCUCUCUAGCUACUACUUCUCCUUCAUUCCCACGCUCUCUCUAAGCACGUGUGCUACACAGUUACCAUUCUACAUUUGUAUUUUAUUUAAGAUUAAUAAAUUUUAUACAGUUCGUAUUACUUUAUAUCUUUCUUACAGAGUUAUAAUAACGUAACUAUUAGCCGGUCAAUAUAUAACAGUGGAUUCGUAAUAUAUUCAUCAACUUAUAUGAAAUAUAUUGGAACGUAUAUAAUUAUCUGUGUGUUUCUCUCCUCAGGUUGAAUAAUGUUUGUGUAUAUAUGGUGUUUACUAUUUUAGGCAUAUAACUGCCUGAUAUUAUGCAAAUGAUUAAAAACAUGUUUAUUUCUUCGAGAUUCUAUGUUUAUAUCAGAAUAGCAAAUUAUUUAUGUUUAGUUGUUGUAUAUAAUGCAACAAUGACGAUCAUUGCUUAUUAAAAUAAAAAAAUCAUGCACGUUUGAUGGUUGACCGGUAACUAAACAUAUGAGGCCCAAAGCUGAUCAUGGUUAACAUGUGCAUAUAUGUAUAUACGGUCUUGAAGCUAUCACAUUUAAAAAGUCAAUUUAACCGAUAUUAAGAAAGUUUGUAGUAUUAUUAUAUACACACACCUCGUACUGGAUGUAAAUGGGUACAUUAAAAUAAAAGUACACUCUUACGUGUGUAUGUAUAUGGGUGAAUACAUAUUUGGGAAAUAACAUAGAUUUUUCAUAUGUACUUAAAAUUUCAUUUUUCAUCGUCAUAGCGUGUUAUUUUGUUACUUAAUAAGCAAUAUAUAUUUUGUUUUCCCAAAAGAAAGAAUGCGCAAUAUAUUUCAACAUAAACCUGCCAUAGAACUUGUUUACACUUGUUGAUUUAGUAAAAAGUAAAUACAAAGUACAAUUUAAUAGACCAAUCUAAGAAAGGUUUUUUUUUUUUUUGAAAAUCUAACUUUGAAAUCGGUAAAGAAAGGUUUUUUUUUUUUUUUUUGUCGACCAUUCGUUUUUAUAACGAAAGCCCAAAAUGGGCAGAGUACAAAAGCAUGAUACAAAGCCUUAUUUAAGCCCAAAUUAAAAUGAACCCACAUACUAUAACAUUGACACGUAACACCAACGUGUAUGAAGCAAAAGCAAGAGGGCCCACUUCUUGUUUCUUCUCAAUUCUUCUCACCGACUUAGAUCUGAGACUGUACUCCGAUUUUUACGCCGACGACGAACGUAGCAACAGAUGAAGGCUUGAAAUCACGCUUCUGGGACCAUCUUUCUACAAAAUUUAACCGCUGCAAGAAUUGGAUCAACCUUAGGAAAUGUCAAACUCAAUCCAAACUCCAAGAAGAAGCUCCGCCUAAAACCUAGAUAAGGUCUUCUUCAAUCCUUAACGAUGAAGAUAUAACGGCGAAUAUAUUACUCUAUCUUUGAAGGAGAAUCAAGUUGAUGGCUAAUCCAAUAAAAACAAACGGGAUUCGAUAUAUUUCUUUGUAGAAAGAGGCAAGAACAAAAAACAUAGAUUUUCUAUCUUAGUCAAUAAACUAAACAAGAUAAACAUUAUUUAAAACUGACUAAGAAGAACAAAAGAUCCGAACCAAGUCGGAAAUCUAUAAAACAAAACUAAAAUUUUCCGGUUAACCGGAAAUCGCCUUCUCUCUCUCUAAAAGAUGAACUGUGUGUUAAGAGAGAGAAGUUCUCUGUAAAGAAAGGUUUUACUUUCACAUAAGGUGAAACAUAAAUGUGCAAGUUGUAGACUUGUAGUGUUGGUAAAAAUAUGAAGCGCGUGAGAUGAUAUGUAUUGUGAAUAUAGCUUGGACUAGGAUAGCAAUUUAAAC
rnacentral:lncRNA from 1 species